AGAGGUGAAAUUCGUAGAUAUUCGGAAGAACACCAGUGGCGAAGGCGGCUCACUGGCUCGAUACUGACGCUGAGGUGCGAAAGUGUGGGGAGCAAACAGGAUUAGAUACCCUGGUAGUCCACACCGUAAACGAUGAAUGCCAGUCGUCGGGUAGUAUACUAUUCGGUGACACACCUAACGGAUUAAGCAUUCCGCCUGGGGAGUACGGCCGCAAGGUUAAAACUCAAAGAAAUUGACGGGGGCCCGCACAAGCGGUGGAGCAUGUGGUCUAAUUCGAAGCAACGCGCAGAACCUUACCAACCCUUGACAUCCUGAUCGCGGUUACCGGAGACGGUUUCCUUCAGUUCGGCUGGAUCAGUGACAGGUGCUGCAUGGCUGUCGUCAGCUCGUGUCGUGAGAUGUUCGGUUAAGUCCGGCAACGAGCGCAACCCACGUCCCUAGUUGCCAGCAGUUCGGCUGGGCACUCUAUGGAAACUGCCCGUGAUAAGCGGGAGGAAGGUGUGGAUGACGUCAAGUCCUCAUGGCCCUUACGGGUUGGGCUACACACGUGCUACAAUGGUGGUGACAGUGGGUUAAUCCCCAAAAACCAUCUCAGUUCGGAUUGUCGUCUGCAACUCGACGGCAUGAAGUCGGAAUCGCUAGUAAUCGCGUAACAGCAUGACGCGGUGAAUACGUUCCCGGGCCUUGUACACACCGCCCA
rnacentral:rRNA from 1 species